rnacentral:rRNA from 1 species
UUUAUUUAUUUUAUUAUAAUUGUUUUUUGUUAGUUUAUUUUUUAAUAAAAGAAAUUUUAUUUAUUAUUUUGUCUUAGUAUAUUUUAUAGAAUUGAUUAUUUUUAUUAUAGUUUAAUAGUAAGGUAAUUGGAUUAUGAAAUAAUUUUUUAAUUAUCAAAAAGUAGAUUUAAUUUGUUGUACCUUUUGUAUCAGGGUUUAUUAAAUUUUUAGUAUUUAUUUACUAAUCUCGAUUUAGGUUGAUUUACAAAUAAAUUAAAGUUAAUGUGUCAUAAUUAUUUUUAAUUUAUUUGUAGAAAUGAAAUGUUAAUCGUUUCCUAAUAUAUCUAGUUUCUUAAGAAAAAAUUUAAUUUUUUAAAGUUAAUAGUUUUUAUUUACUUUUUUAUAUAGAAAUGUUAACUUAUUUAUUCUUUAGGGGAUAAGCUCUAGAGUUUUCCUAUAAUUUUAUUAAUUUUGAUUUAAUAGUAAGCUUUAAACCAGCUAUCUUUUUGAUUACGUUUUAGUUCAUUAUUUAUUAUUUUGAUUUUGUAAAUAUUUUAGGUUUUAUAUUAAGAUUAUUAAUUUAAUUUUUAAAUUAUUGUAAUAAUGAUAGAAUUAGUAUAUAUAUUUAUUGUUUAUAAUAUUUUAUUAUGUUAAUUUAUUAUAAGGAAUUAGGCAAAAUUGAUUUCCGCCUGUUUAUCAAAAACAU